GACGAACGCUGGCGGCGUGCUUAACACAUGUAAGUCGUACGACAGCAUUUCCUUUUAGGUUGUGUUUGGAGUGGCGAACGGGUGAGUAACACGUGAGUGACCUGCCCUUCACUUUGGGAUAACGUGCGGAAACGUGCGCUAAUACCAAAUAUUCGCAUUUCUGCUGCAUGGUGGGGUGUGGAAAGGGGCCUUCGGGUUCGUGGUGGGGGAGUGGGCGUCGCGGCCUAUCAGCUGGUUGGUGGGGUGGAUGGCCUACCAAGGCGUGGACGGGUAGCCGGCCUGAGAGGGUGUUCGGUCACACUGGGACUGAGAUACGGCCCA
rnacentral:rRNA from 1 species